rnacentral:rRNA from 1 species
GAUGAACGCUGGCGGCGUGCCUAAUACAUGCAAGUCGAGCGAACAGACGAGGAGCUUGCUCCUCUGACGUUAGCGGCGGACGGGUGAGUAACACGUGGAUAACCUACCUAUAAGACUGGGAUAACUUCGGGAAACCGGAGCUAAUACCGGAUAAUAUAUUGAACCGCAUGGUUCAAUAGUGAAAGACGGUUUUGCUGUCACUUAUAGAUGGAUCCGCGCCGCAUUAGCUAGUUGGUAAGGUAACGGCUUACCAAGGCAACGAUGCGUAGCCGACCUGAGAGGGUGAUCGGCCAAACUGGAACUGAGACACGGUCCAGACUCUUACGGGAGGCAGCAGUAGGGAAUCUUCCGCAAUGGGCGAAAGCCUGACGGAGCAACGCCGCGUGAGUGAUGAAGGUCUUCGGAUCGUAAAACUCUGUUAUUAGGGAAGAACAAAUGUGUAAGUAACUAUGCACGUCUUGACGGUACCUAAUCAGAAAGCCACGGCUAACUACGUG